CCCAUUCCGAACAGAGAAGUCAAGCCCGCCAGAGCCGAUGGUACUGCGGUAAAACGUGGGAGAGUAGGUCGGUGCCACCC
rnacentral:rRNA from 1 species